rnacentral:lncRNA from 10 species
CACAGAUCCAUCUGACUCUGUGAAACUUGAAUAGCCACUUCAGUGCUAUGACACAGAGAUGAGUACGGGAAUCUUGAAGAGAUGUCUUUCCUGGGAAAGCUUGAGACUUGCCUACAUCAUCCUGACACAUCUUAGUGCCUGCUGCACCCCCAUCUGACUCUCAAAUCAAGGAGCCCAAGAAAAGCUAUACUGGACUUUCACUAGGUCAAGCCAUCUAGCACUGAAGCAUGGACCAAAGACAAGCAAUUCUUUCUGGUUUCUAGGAUUAAUAGUUAGUUCUUGGCCACUGUUCCCAUAUACUCCCUGGGGAACAUCAGUAUGUAAGAGAACCACUGAUAUGCUAAGGGGUUAUCUUUCAUCCGAGGUUCAAUAUUCCCCCGGAAGACUUUGUUCUGCUGGCUUGAUGUCCAAGUGUCUCAAAUUCCCCAGACAACUGAAUAUCCCGCUUCCUGUAAAAAUGCUGACAUCAGG